rnacentral:rRNA from 1 species
UUCGCAAUGCCCGAAAGGGUGACGAAGCGACGCCGCGUGUGGGAAGAAGGCCUUCGGGUUGUAAACCACUGUCGGGAGUUAAGAAAUGCAAGGAUAUUAAUAGUGUCUUUGUUUGACUAAGGCUCCGGAGGAAGCCACGGCUAACUCUGUGCCAGCAGCCGCGGUAAUACAGAGGCGGCAAGCGUUGUUCGGAAUUAUUGGGCGUAAAGAGCACGUAGGCGGCUAUGUAAGUCGGUUGUGAAAGCCUUCCGCUCAACGGAAGAACAGCAUCCGAUACUGCAUGGCUUGAGUGCAGGAGGGGAGAGUGGAACUCCUGGUGGAGCGGUGAAAUGCGUAGAUAUCAGAAGGAACGCCGGCGGCGAAAGCGGCUCUCUGGCCCAUAACUGACGCUGAGUGUGCGAAAGCUAGGGGAGCAAACGGGAUUAGAUACCCCGGUAGUCCUAGCCGUAAACGAUGGGCACUAAGUAGAGGGGUUUU